CCCUUUGGGGUGUGACUGCGUACCUUUUGUAUAAUGGGUCAGCGACUUAUAUUCUGUAGCAAGGUUAACCGAAUAGGGGAGCCGGAGGGAAACCGAGUCUUAAUUGGGCGUUAAGUUGCAGGGUAUAGACCCGAAACCCGGUGAUCUAGCCAUGGGCAGGUUGAAGGUUGGGUAACACUAACUGGAGGACCGAACCGACUAAUGUUGAAAAAUUAGCGGAUGACCUGUGGCUGGGGGUGAAAGGCCAAUCAAACCGGGAGAUAGCUGGUUCUCCCCGAAAGCUAUUUAGGUAGCGCCUCGUGAAUUCAUCUCCGGGGGUAGAGCACUGUUUCGGCUAGGGGGCCAUCCCGGCUUACCAACCCGAUGCAAACUGCGAAUACCGGAGAAUGUUAUCACGGGAGACACACGGCGGGUGCUAACGUCCGUCGUGAAGAGGGAAACAACCCAGACCGCCAGCUAAGGUCCCAAAGUCAUGGUUAAGUGGGAAACGAUGUGGGAAGGCCCAGACAGCCAGGAUGUUGGCUUAGAAGCAGCCAUCAUUUAAAGAAAGCGUAAUAGCUCACUGGUCGAGUCGGCCUGCGCGGAAGAUGUAACGGGGCUAAACCAUGCACCGAAGCUGCGGCAGCGACGCUGAUGCGUUGUUGGGUAGGGGAGCGUUCUGUAAGCCUGCGAAGGUGUGUCGUGAGGCAUGCUGGAGGUAUCAGAAGUGCGAAUGCUGACAUAAGUAACGAUAAAGCGGGUGAAAAGCCCGCUCGCCGGAAGACCAAGGGUUCCUGUCCAACGUUAAUCGGGGCAGGGUGAGUCGACCCCUAAGGCGAGGCCGAAAGGCGUAGUCGAUGGGAAACGGGUUAAUAUUCCCGUACUUGGUGUUACUGCGAAGGGGGGACGGAGAAGGCUAUGUUGGCCGGGCGACGGUUGUCCCGGUUUAAGCGUGUAGGUGUGUGUUCCAGGUAAAUCCGGUUCACUUUAACACUGAGGCGUGAUGACGAGGCACUACGGUGCUGAAGCAACAAAUGCCCUGCUUCCAGGAAAAGCCUCUAAGCAUCAGGUAACAUCAAAUCGUACCCCAAACCGACACAGGUGGUCAGGUAGAGAAUACCAAGGCGCUUGAGAGAACUCGGGUGAAGGAACUAGGCAAAAUGGUGCCGUAACUUCGGGAGAAGGCACGCUGACACGUAGGUGAAGUGAUUUACUCAUGGAGCUGAAGUCAGUCGAAGAUACCAGCUGGCUGCAACUGUUUAUUAAAAACACAGCACUGUGCAAACACGAAAGUGGACGUAUACGGUGUGACGCCUGCCCGGUGCCGGAAGGUUAAUUGAUGGGGUCAGCGCAAGCGAAGCUCCUGAUCGAAGCCCCGGUAAACGGCGGCCGUAACUAUAACGGUCCUAAGGUAGCGAAAUUCCUUGUCGGGUAAGUUCCGACCUGCACGAAUGGCGUAAUGAUGGCCAGGCUGUCUCCACCCGAGACUCAGUGAAAUUGAACUCGCUGUGAAGAUGCAGUGUACCCGCGGCAAGACGGAAAGACCCCGUGAACCUUUACUAUAGCUUGACACUGAACAUUGAGCCUUGAUGUGUAGGAUAGGUGGGAGGCUUUGAAGUGUGGACGCCAGUCUGCAUGGAGCCGGCCUUGAAAUACCACCCUUUAAUGUUUGAUGUUCUAACGUGGACCCGUGAUCCGGGUUGCGGACAGUGUCUGGUGGGUAGUUUGACUGGGGCGGUCUCCUCCUAAAGAGUAACGGAGGAGCACGAAGGUUGGCUAAUCCUGGUCGGACAUCAGGAGGUUAGUGCAAUGGCAUAAGCCAGCUUGACUGCGAGCGUGACGGCGCGAGCAGGUGCGAAAGCAGGUCAUAGUGAUCCGGUGGUUCUGAAUGGAAGGGCCAUCGCUCAACGGAUAAAAGGUACUCCGGGGAUAACAGGCUGAUACCGCCCAAGAGUUCAUAUCGACGGCGGUGUUUGGCACCUCGAUGUCGGCUCAUCACAUCCUGGGGCUGAAGUAGGUCCCAAGGGUAUGGCUGUUCGCCAUUUAAAGUGGUACGCGAGCUGGGUUUAGAACGUCGUGAGACAGUUCGGUCCCUAUCUGCCGUGGGCGCUGGAGAACUGAGGGGGGCUGCUCCUAGUACGAGAGGACCGGAGUGGACGCAUCACUGGUGUUCGGGUUGUCAUGCCAAUGGCACUGCCCGGUAGCUAAAUGCGGAAGAGAUAAGUGCUGAAAGCAUCUAAGCACGAAACUUGCCCCGAGAUGAGUUCUCCCUGAGACUUAGAGUCUCCUGAAGGAACGUUGAAGACGACGACGUUGAUAGGCCGGGUGUGUAAGCGCAGCGAUGCGUUGAGCUAACCGGUACUAAUGAACCGUGAGGCUUAACCUUACAACGCCGAAG
rnacentral:rRNA from 2 species